UACAGAGGGUGCGAGCGUUAAUCGGAAUUACUGGGCGUAAAGCGUGCGUAGACGGUUAUUUAAGUCGGAUGUGAAAGCCCCGGGCUCAACCUGGGAAUUGCAUUCGAGACUGAAUAGCUAGGGUACGGUAGAGGGAAGUGGAAUUUCCGGUGUAGCGGUGAAAUGCGUAGAUAUCGGGAGGAACACCUGUGGCGAAAGCGGCUCACUGGACCACAACUGACGCUGAGGCGCGAAAGCUAGGGGAGCAAACAGG
rnacentral:rRNA from 1 species